rnacentral:rRNA from 1 species
GACGAACGCUGGCGGCGUGCUUAACACAUGCAAGUCGAGCGGUAAGGCCCUUUCGGGGGUACACGAGCGGCGAACGGGUGAGUAACACGUGGGUGACCUGCCCUCAGCUCUGGGAUAAGCCUGGGAAACCGGGUCUAAUACCGGAUAUGACUCCAUGACGCAUGUUGUGGGGUGGAAAGCCUUGUGCGGCUGAGGAUGGGCCCGCGGCCUAUCAGCUUGUUGGUGGGGUGANGGCCUACCAAGGCGACGACGGGUAGCCGGCCUGAGAGGGCGACCGGCCACACUGGGACUGAGACACGGCCCAGACUCCUACGGGAGGCAGCAGGUGGGGAAUCUUGCGCAAGUGGGCGAAAGCCUGACGCAGCGACGCCGCGUGAGGGAUGACGGCCU